rnacentral:rRNA from 1 species
ACCAGACUCCUACGGGAGGCAGCAGUAGGGAAUCUUUCACAAUGGGCGAAAGCCUGACGCAGCAACGCCGCGUGCAGGAAGAAGGUCUUCGGAUUGUAAACUGUUGUCGCAGGGGAAGAAGACAGUGACGGUACCCUGUGAGAAAGUCACGGCUAACUACGUGCCAGCAGCCGCGGUAAUACGUAGGUGACAAGCGUUGUCCGGAUUUACUGGGUGUAAAGGGCGCGUAGGCGGAUGUGCAAGUCAGUCGUGAAAUGCUGGGGCUCAACCCCGGGGCUGCGAUUGAAACUGCACACCUUGAGUAUCGGAGAGGAAAGCGGAAUUCCUAGUGUAGCGGUGAAAUGCGUAGAUAUUAGGAGGAACGCCAGUGGCGAAGGCGGCUUUCUGGACGACAACUGACGCUGAGGCGCGGAAGUGUGGGGAGCAAACAGGAUUAGAUGGCCCAGUA